GGUAUAGCUCAGUGGUAGAGUAUGUGCUUAGCAUGCACGAGGUCCUGGGUUCAAUUGCCAGUACC
rnacentral:tRNA from 1 species